rnacentral:rRNA from 1 species
UAGCAAUACGUGGCAUACGGCUCAGUAACACGUAGUCAACAUGCCCAGGGGACGUGGAUAACCUCGGGAAACUGAGGAUAAACCGCGAUAGGUCAUAAUAUCUGGAAUGAUUUCUGGCUUAAAUCUAUAUGGCCCCUGGAUUGGACUGCGGCCGAUCAGGCUGUUGGUGAGGUAAUGGCCCACCAAACCUAAAACCGGUACGGGCUCUGAGAGGAGAAGCCCGGAGAUGGGCACUGAGACAAGGGCCCAGGCCCUAUGGGGCGCAGCAGGCGCGAAAACUCUGCAAUAAGCGAAAGCUUGACAGGGUUAUUCUGAGUGAUUUCCGCUAAGGAAAUCUUUUGGCACCUCUAAAAAUGGUGCAGAAUAAGGGGUGGGCAAGCCUGGUGUCAGCCGCCGCGGUAAUACCAGCACCCCGAGUGGUCGGGACGAUUAUUGGGCCUAAAGCAUCCGUAGCCGGUUCUACAAGUCUUCCGUUAAAUCCACCUGCUUAACAGAUGGGCUGCGGAGGAUACUAUGGAGCUAGGAGGCGGGAGAGGCAAGCGGUACUUAGUGGGUAGGGGUAAAAUCCGUUGAUCCAUUGAAGACCACCAGUGGCGAAGGCGGCUUGCCAGAACGCACUCGACGGUGAGGGAUGAAAGCUGGGGGAGCAAACCGGAUUAGAUACCCGGGUAGUCCCAGCUGUAAACGA